GCAGAAAAAUAGUGGUUUAUUCUUCGCUUAAAGAUUUGGAACAACAAGGCUCAAGAUUUCGCACAUGACGAUCGCGUAAAGUGUCCCCACACACCAGUUGGUUGGCAAACAGGAGGACCGGAUCGUCUAUUUAGCGAGCCGUUGUCGCCGCUGAACGAGAAAUCGAUUAGUAAGAAGAUGGACCGCGGCGGUGCGGACUGCUGUAGUGUAGUGUUGAUUGUAGUGCAUUUGUGCGAUUUGAUGGCUGCACGCUAAUGAUUUGUUUACUGUGCUGUUGUUUAUGGGGGCCAGAGUUAUCGGGCGUCUUUUUUCCGCUUCUCGAACGGUGGGGAGACGGUGGUUUUAUUUGCCGUCUUUGCCAAGGGGUUGCUAAAGAGAGGUUCCAGUGGGCAAGGACUAGGAAUAUUUAUUAAUUACACAGAAAAUCUAUGGGUCAUCCUACAAUGCAAAAAUUAUCGCCAAGGAACAACGCGUGGACUUCCCUCGGACUCGGUCAGCAAACAACAAGCGUGUAGAAAAGCAUUAUCGUACGAUGCUGUUUGCUUGUUAUGCCGUCGUCACGAGACAUUGUUGCUCGAACUCGGGUGAGGCAAAAAAAGAAAUGCGAAUUUCGCACAUGAGAAGUAAAUUUUAUCGUAAUAAGUUAGUUUGGGAAAAUAAAGUGUAAUAAUGCUCUGUUAAUACGUGUAAAAUACAUUGUAUUCAUAUUCUGAGGAUUUUUUCUUUCGAAACUGGCUGGCUCGAAUCCCGCAAAGGCACAACAAAAUAAGUGAUAGUUUCGUGGAAGACAUUGCAUCGAAUUUCGAAUAAGAUGAAUCGAGUUUAGGCUAUAUCUUUAAAAUUAUUCUAAUUGUACAAUGACUUGCAGAAUAAUCUAUUUUGCACAGCUGGCGAUUGUAGGAAUCCCCCAUGUUGUCCCAGUACUUGAUGUAUGCUCGUUUUGUCAGAAUCCCUGCUAAAUCCACGACCUCUCUUCUUUCUCCCUUUCUUCCUAUCACUUUAAUUUUAAUGUUUUGAUAAGCUUUGACACAAAUGUUUUGUAAUCACCAGAGUGAGUAAAAUUUCGCGAUUUCACGAGAGUUGUGAUUUUUUUAACGCAUAAAAUGUUUAAUAAGCUUCAUAGCUAGUCACAUUUGCCAAAUACAGAAUUAUUUUUUAUUAUUUUCGCCAAAAAAAUCUGACAAUACUUGAUAGUUUCAAUGGUUUUGGUUGAUUUAAUGCAUACCGUGAAAUUGAAUUGUUUCAACGUGAAAAAAAUUAACCCUAGUAAACAUGUGCCCGGCGUCCAGUAGUGUGACCAAUGAAUCGCAAAACUCGCAGUCGCCGGUGGAAUCAUCUUCCAGCCACUGCUGCAGUCCAAUAGACCCUCGGAAAUCUCACCCAGCUCUCAGCUCAACCUCAGCUGAGCAGCUUGCGCGACGAAGACGCGGUGCGCGGGAGUGAGUUGUAUUAUUUGGCUUAUCAAUUCGACUGUGUUUACUGACCAGGCCAAGCCAGGGGACUGGCAUUCCGGUUCUACUUAUCACGUUGUGUGAAUGUGUGUCACCGUAUGUGUGUGUGUGUGUUUUUUUUCUUGUUUUUCUAAAUAAACUCCACUUAUCUCGUUGCGGUAGAAAUGGUUCAGUGAUUUCACAGUGGGUGAAUAAAAUAUAUGGCUAGCCCAGCUCGACACGUUGAUGUGAUUUCUGAAGAAUCGCGCCUCGAUCUUGAUACGGGUUGGUGGGCUCAGCUGCGAGUGGGGGAGUUUCUCCGCCCAAGGGAAGUCCCGUUCAUAAAGGGAGGCUGUUACAGCCCUGACCUUGCAAACUGAACUGCAUUUAGUUUAAGGGUUUGAAAUCAUUUGAUUAGAACCGGAAUUAGCUCGGUUGGAAAGUUUCUUCAAGUUUUUUGGUAUGAGGUUGGGCAAUGUAAUUUGGGGAUCUUGGAAGUCGUAAAUUGUGCAAUAAAGGUUCAAGUUCAUCUACCAAAUUAAUUUAUCAAAAACUGGUUUCAGUCUAUUUAUUCUGAUUAAGAAAAGGAUUUAUCUAUCAAUUAAUCAGUAAAUCAAACAAGUCUUAUGACUAGAAACAAUUGUUUUAAAUGGCGUUUGGUUUCUUUUUUUUUUGUAUAUUCUACCUUAACCAUACACUAAAAAGAUCAAAAUUGUACGCUCAACUUCGACAUUUAAUUACUCGCGGGCUAAAAAAACACUAAUUGGAAAACUAGGUGAGAUCAAAUCCAGGAUAUCCAAAAAGUGGUCCAAAGAGUUCAUAGUGAUGCCAAAAGGUUCCAUUGCCAUCACUGAAUAUGAAUCUCAAUCUAAAACUAUGUAUUAUCAUGUUGAUAUUGCGGGUCACUUUGGACGACCUAAAAUAUCCCAGGUUCAAUCAGUUCUUUGUGAUUCUAAAGGGUCCCAUAGACAUCCCUGAAUAUGAACUAAUCCAAAUCUUCGUUUUUGUUUCACGGAGCAAGGUGGGGGGAUGCGGCUGCGGCCUCAAGUCAAGCCAAGUCCGGUUUAUUAUGGAAAAUAAGGUAGUAGCCGAACUAGUAUUGCAUACAAAAUGAACAUCACAGGACGAUGUAGGGAAUCGGGAGGGAGAUGGUUAGAAGAAAUUAGUGUUGGUGUGAGUGAUAAGAACUUGGAUGAUUUCUAGAGUUUUUAAAAGGUCCUAUAAGCUAUUGUGUUUUAUGUGUUUAUAGGAACUUAAAAAAAAAACUCUAGAAUAUUCUUAACAUCAACUCUGGUGUGUCUCUA